ACAGCUCAGUAACACGUGGACAACCUACCCAAGAGUCAGGGAUAACCCCGGGAAACUGGGGAUAAUACCUGAUAGGCCACGACAUCUGGAAUCGAGUCGUGGUUUAAACGUAAGGCUCUUGGAUGGGUCUGCGGCGGAUUAGGUUGUUGCCGGUGUAACGUACCAGCAAGCCUGUAAUCCGUACGGGUUGUGGGAGCAAGAGCCCGGAGAUGGAUUCUGAGACACGAAUCCAGGCCCUACGGGGCGCAGCAGGCGCGAAAACUCUACAAUGCAGGCAACUGCGAUAGGGGAACAUCGAGUGGCACCCACCAUGGGUGUCUGUCCAGCCGUCUAAAAAACGGCUGUUAGCAAGGGCCGGGCAAGACCGGUGCCAGCCGCCGCGGUAAUACCGGCGGCUCGAGUGGUGGCCGAUAUUAUUGAGUCUAAAGGGUCCGUAGCCGGCUUUGCAAGUCCCCUGGGAAAUCCAGCGGCUUAACCGUUGGGCUUUCAUGGGAUACUACAUUGCUUGGGACUGGGAGAGGUAGGAGGUACUCAGGGGGUAGGGGUGAAAUCCUGUAAUCCUCUGGGGACCACCGGUGGCGAAGGCGUCCUACCAGAACAGGUCCGACGGUGAGGGACGAAAGCUAGGGGCACGAACCGGAUUAGAUACCCGGGUAGUCCUAGCCGUAAACGAUGCUCGCUAGAUGUCACGGCAGUCGUGAAUUGUCGUGGUGCCGUAGGGAAGCCGUGAAGCGAGCCACUUGGGAAGUACGACCGCAAGGUUGAAACUUAAAGGAAUUGGCGGGGGAGCACAA
rnacentral:rRNA from 1 species